UACGUAGGGUGCGAGCGUUAAUCGGAAUUACUGGGCGUAAAGCGUGCGCAGGCGGCGCAGCAAGUCGAGUGUGAAAUCCCCGAGCUUAACUUGGGAAUUGCGCUCGAAACUACGGUGCUGGAGUGUGGCAGAGGGAGGUGGAAUUCCACGUGUAGCGGUGAAAUGCGUAGAGAUGUGGAGGAACACCGAUGGCGAAGGCAGCCUCCUGGGCCAAUACUGACGCUCAUGCACGAAAGCGUGGGGAGCAAACAGG
rnacentral:rRNA from 1 species